rnacentral:rRNA from 1 species
AUUGAACGCUGGCGGCAGGCCUAACACAUGCAAGUCGAGCGGAGCGGCGGACGGGCGAGUAAUGCCUAGGUAUCUGCCUGGUAGUGGGGGAUAACUUCCGGAAACGGGCGCUAAUACAGCAUGCUAUCAGAUGAGCCUAGGUCGGUUUAGCUAGUUGGUGGGGGAAAGGCCUACCAAGGCGACGAUCCGUAACUGGUCUGAGAGGAUGAUCAGUCACACUGGAACUGAGACACGGGCCAGACUCCUACGGGAGGCAGCAGUGGGGAAUAUUGGACAAUGGGCGAAAGCCUGAUCCAGCCAUGCCGCGUGUGUGAAGAAGGUCUUCGGAUUGUAAAGCACUUUAAGUUGGGAGGCGUUACCGACAGAAGAAGCACCGGCUAACUUCGUGCCAGCAGCCGCGGUAAUUC